rnacentral:rRNA from 1 species
UAAGCGGAGGAAAAGAAACUAACUAGGAUUCCCUUAGUAACGGCGAGUGAACCGGGAUGAGCUCAAAUUUAAAAUCUGGCGUCUUUCAGGCGUCCGAGUUGUAAUCUAUAGAGGCGUUUUCCGCGCCGGACCGCGUCCAAGUCUCUUGGAAUAGAGUAUCAAAGAGGGUGACAAUCCCGUACUUGACGCGACAACCGGUGCUCUGUGAUACGUUCUCAAUGAGUCGAGUUGUUUGGGAAUGCAGCUCUAAAUGGGUGGUAAAUUCCAUCUAAGGCUAAAUAUUGGCGAGAGACCGAUAGCGAACAAGUACCGUGAGGGAAAGAUGAAAAGCACUUUGGAAAGAGAGUUAAACAGCACGUGAAAUUGUUAAAAGGGAAACGAUUGAAGUCAGUCGUGUGAAAGGUAUUCAGCCGUCUCUGGCGGUGUAUUUGCCUUUCACGGGUCAACAUCAGUUUGAUCCGGUAGAAAAAGGCAGGAGGAAGGUGGCACCCUCGGGUGUGUUAUAGCCUCUUGUCAUAUGUGCCGGACCAGACUGAGGAACGCAGCUUGCCGCAAGGC